rnacentral:misc_RNA from 1 species
CUUUAUUGUAAUUUAUAGGUCUCCGCUCAGUAACUAGUAAUAAACGUUAACCUCUGUUUGCUGAGCACGUAAGAAAACAAUCUAAUAAUAUCGUUUAUCGUACUGAAGUAUAAAGUAAAUUGCAAUAGAAAUUGAUUUCAAGACUGGUUUUGUGUAACAACAAACAGUAUCGCGCAGAAUUUAUUGCAUCUUGGUUUUCUUUUAAGUUUGUAUUUCAAUAGCUUUAGAACAAGAAAUUUAAUACAAGUGCGAUGAAUUGUUUUACUUCAAUAGCGAUGGGUAGUAAGAGUUUGAUUGCAUUCGAGAUGACCUCGAGCAAAGAAAAUAAGUGGAAUCAAAAUUUAAAAAAGAGGGUGUGGAGAGGGAACAAGAGAAAGAGUAAAAUCAUGAGAGCGGAAAAGAGGGAGAGCCUAUAUGAUAAAAUGAAAAAGAGAAAGGGAGGAAAAGAGUAGAUUUCUGGAAAAAAAUAACCUUAAAGAAAUCUGACCGAUGGUCGCUGGAGCAGACGUGCUUAUGGAGUGGAGACCGCGUCUUGGCAAACGCAAUGUGAGACGCCCUCCAUCCCGCUGAUCGAUGAUCUACGUAAGAUUGGCGCUGGUGGCUGGAUGAGGAUCCCAGGGGAUAACUGGGAUGUCUGGUGCGUACUUGGGGAUGCCUAUGUCCAGCAAAACUGCGAUAGCCUGAAGUGAGGACCUAAAUGUACAGUUAGACUAAAAUAG